UUGUUUAAGACUCUCUGUUUGCAUGUAACGGAAACCAACCUGAAACAGCUUAACCAAAAGGGAAGAAUUUAUCAUAAGGAUGUAGGAACUUCUUACAAAUGCCCAGAGCGGGAAGACAGCUACCUCCUAGCAAAAGACUAGAACCAGGAGUUGGAAAACUUCCAGGAACCCAAAAGUAGCCCCAAACUGGAAACAACCCAAAUGUCUGAAUUGGUGAAGAGAGAAGCAAAGUGUGCUUCAUCCAGAGACUGAAAUACUACACACCCGUAACAAGGAAUGAACUACUGCAUCUGAGGACACUGAGAAAUCUGCAGUCUGCCGCCCACAAGACAGCGUCUUCUGGAACCCAGGGCUGCACCCUCGGCAUGUGGAAGAUACGGAAGUCUCCAAGCUAGAGUCAAAUCAGAGCUGCAGCUACUGGCCUACGCCACAGCCACAGCCAUACAGGAUCCGAGCCACAUCUGCAACCUACAUCACAGCUCACAGCAACACCAGAUCCUCAAGCCACUGAGCAGGGCCAGGAAUUUAACACGUAUCCUCAUGGAUCCUAAUCAGGUUCAUUUGCCUUGAGCCACAAUGAGAACUCCCAACAUGUGAAUUUUGUAGGGACAUGAUGCAGCCCAUAAUACUUCUGCCAUCUAUAGGCUCUCAGGAUGCGUGGGACCGACCCCCAGAGUGCCAUCCUAGUAAGAACACUGGUGGCAGCCACCUCCCUUGCCUGUUGGGUGUCCCAUUAUCACUUUCCCUCUUACCUAAUAAUUCAGAGCAAAAAGAGAGGCUCUUAGGCCUGAAGUCCCUGAAAUCUCUCUAACCUUGAAGCUCAUCUCUUUCCAGACCUAGGUGCACCUCCGUCCAUUGCUUCUAGACCAGUUUUCCUAACAUGCAGAUCUGAUCAGAUCAUUCCACUGCUCAAAGUCUUCAGCUUCACCCUGGUCCACACUUGUGAGCAUUGCACUCAAGGCCCCCGUGACCAGUUCCCCUCUGGGUCUCUGCCCUCACAUCCUGCUCCCUGAUCUCCUGUUUCCAGUGUCCCAGCAAGACUGACCUCCUUGUGCUGCUGUGAAAACACUCCUUCCAGAGGCAGGACGUUUGGGUCCCUGUGUUUUAACUCGUUGUCAUGGUUUUUUCUCUGUAGUUGUUGGAAAACCUUCUCCCCUUGUCUCCGCAAAGCUCCUUGUCCUUGAGAACCUUUGAACACCACCUCACCAGGUCACUUCCCAGACUCCUCUCCCCCAGAGCGAGUUAAUGCACCC
rnacentral:lncRNA from 1 species